rnacentral:rRNA from 1 species
AUUGAACGCUGGCGGCAGGCCUAACACAUGCAAGUCGAGCGGAUGAAGGGAGCUUGCUCCUGGAUUCAGCGGCGGACGGGUGAGUAAUGCCUAGGAAUCUGCCUGGUAGUGGGGGAUAACGUCCGGAAACGGGCGCUAAUACCGCAUACGUCCUUAUGGAGAAAGUGGGGGAUCUUCGGACCUCACGCUAUCAGAUGAGCCUAGGUCGGAUUAGCUAGUUGGUGGGGUAAGGGCCUACCAAGGCGACGAUCCGUAACUGGUCUGAGAGGAUGAUCAGUCACACUGGAACUGAGACACGGUCCAGACUCCUACGGGAGGCAGCAGUGGGGAAUAUUGGACAAUGGGCGAAAGCCUGAUCCAGCAACGCCGCGUGUGUGAAGAAGGUCUUCGGAUUGUAAAGCUCUUUAAGUUGGGAGGAAGAAAAGUAAGUUAAUACCUUGCUGUUUUGACGGUACCAACAGAAUAAGCACCGGCUAACUUCGUG